ACAGCACGGCGCUUACCGUCCUACAGCUCCGAGCUCACCGUCCUACAGCACGGCGCUUACCGUCCUACAGCUCCGAGCUGACCGUCCUACAGCACCGAGCUGACCGUCCUACAGCUCCGAGCUCACCGUCCUACAGCACGGCGCUUACCGUCCUACAGCUCCGAGCUUACCGUCCUACAGCACGGAGCUAUCCGGCCGACAGCAAUUGCUUGUUGAUGUACACAGACGGACAGGAGACAUGCUGUUUUGUUGAAGUGCGAGAGUAACUUUUAUUGAUAUUAUUGUCAUUUUAUUUGUGUUGCCAUAGGCAAACUCACCCGUUUGUAGAUUAAACUUGGAUUAUUUAUCACAAAAGAAGACAUAAGCGUAUAAGCACCAAAAACUCCCCGGGUGCCCUUCAGCAAACCAGAAUACAUUAUACAUGAGUAUAAAAACAAAAACAAUUACAAUGUGAGACACAAUACCAGUAACAUACGCAUUUGUACAUAACGCUUUAGGCACCAAGUGAGAAACAUUACCUUCAGUGUAGCAUUUACCUUCAUCAAUUAUACCAGAUACACAUUGGUAGGAAAGACUUCAUGGUGUACUCUCGUAUUCUUAAAUUAACUUCUCUUUUGUUUUUUGGGAUCAAUGAAGCUUAUUCCUUAACAGUACCACUACACGCGAAAAUUAACACUAGUGUCUACAGUGCAGUAAAUCAUGUCAUACACAUUGUAGAGCAAUGUAACCCUCCUUUAAUUUGCCAAACAAUGAAAACAAUAAAAUAAUAAAAUGGCAGGUUUCAGUAUUCAGGCAAAGCAAAACACACACAGCAAUUUACCAGCUGUACACAGAAUCUCCUCAUAUACAGUGUAAACCACCAGUGAUAAAAUAAUUGAAUGCAGUAGCACAAAGAUGAGGAGGGUCCGUGAUCUCCACAAGCUACCUGUUUUAGCUUCCCACGUUGCCAGAGGUACUCAGAGUGACGCGGGCACUCAGAGUGACUAUCUGGGGUCCGUCUGUCGCUAUCCAGUUCGGUAACGAUCCUCUGCAGCUUUUUUACGUUCCACAACUUUAGCAAAACGGCAGUCUACAGUAGUCUUUAUUAGCGAACGGCUGGGUUAGCCUCACUUUUACUCAAUGCGUGCACGGCCGCAGGAAACAAAACACACAGUCCAGCAGACUCACGCUGAAACUUUACGUGUUAUGUCACUAGCUUACCGACACUGUGUCUUAUCUUUCCGAAAAGUCAAAACACACUUACUAGUACAUAAAAACAAGCUAACUUCUCCACAUACUCCGUGUAACUCACGCACCACCCUCUCUCCUCGCGCUCUCUUUUUCCUUUUUCCUUCUCCACCCUGUGUUACCUUCACAGACCAUAUCCCCGUAGGAAAUUACACUUUUCAUAAGAAAUUCACAAGAAAAGAAAGAUAACUUAUUUUAAACAAUGCAAACACGUUUUUAAUCAUUUUACAUGAACUUUUAUCUUUUUAAUGUACAAGAAAGUUGAACAAAUGAAUUUAACUCUUUGGUAUUUAUAUUCUUAGACUUUACUUAUCUUUUACUAUUCAUUCUUCUUUUUAACCCGGGUUACAGUAAAGCUAUCUGUCCUACAGCACCGAGCUGACCGUCCCACAGGACGGCGCUUACCGUCCUACAGCACCGAGCUGACCGUCCUACAGCUCCGAGCUCACCGUCCUACAGCUCCGAGCUCACCGUCCUACAGCACGGCGCUUACCGUCCUACAGCUCCGAGCUUACCGUCCUACAGCUCCGAGCUCACCGUCCUACAGCUCCGAGCUUACCGUCCUACAGCACCGAGCUCACCGUCCUACAGCUCCGAGCUCACCGUCCUACAGCACGGCGCUCACCGUCCUACAGCACGGAGCUAUGCAGCCGACAGCAAUUGCUUGUUGAUGUACACAGACGGACAGGAGACAUGCUGUUUUGUUGAAGUGCGAGAGUAACUUUUAUUGAUAUUAUUGUCAUUUUAUUUGUGUUGCCAUAGGCAAACUCACCCGUUUGUAGAUUACACUUGGAUUAUUUAUCACAAAAGAAGAUAUAAGUACGGUGGCUGGGAAGUGCAAAGCACAUUUACAACAUAGACAACAAAAUAACAUUUUAGAAAACACUUCUACAUAAAAAAAAGGCAAAUAAAAAAAUUGACAACAAAAUAACAAGUCCGCAACAAAUUAACAAGUGGCUCUUGACGGAAAGGGAUUGUCUGAAAUACCGGAAGUGACUCAACAAUGUUUCUGGCCCAAACAAAGCGCUAGCGGAAGAGGAGCGAAAGCACACGGAUAACACCAGCUAUGGUUCGUACUUGCUGUGCGGUCGGUUGUAAUGUUAGAUCGCACGACCGGCAAGGGAAUAAGCUUGAAAUGGUUUAUCUUUUCAUUCUUUCCCCACCUGGAAGCAACAUGAGGCAGCUCAUGUAUCAGAUGUUACCAAAAGAAGACGUCUAGUCUGGAUAGCAGCUGUGAGACGAGCUGAUAUCCAGCUCUCUUCCAUCUCCAAAUAUCUGUUGGUGCUCCAGAUAUUUUCAUUCCGGCAAACCAGCCUAUGAAAUGGAUGAAACACAUCGUGACUGGGUUCCAGCGCUACACAAGGGGCACUCCGAAAUCCCUGCUUCAAACAUACCGCCAUGCCAAUCAGAUUACUUCUUCCCUGUGAGGGUGAAGAUGUGACCCUUCUGGAUAAGAUGGUGAAGGUUUGCUGCGUUUUGGUGAACAGUGUGGUAGUAAAACCAGGGAAAAAUGAAACUUGCGCCUGUUAAAUAUUCUUAAGUCUUGCGCUGUAUAAAUAGCAGUAGUUUUUCAAAAGAUACAGUAAAUUAAGUAGUGAUAGUAUUUGGUGAUAUCAUGUAAACGCUGUCAUGAUUUUGUGUAAACAUUUUGUCAUUUGUAAACUAUAAAUGACAUUGAUUCUACAUUGUAACUGAUGUGAUGUUCUAUAAAGUGGUUUUAAUAAAAAACAAAAGGCAAAAA